rnacentral:ncRNA from 1 species
CAGCACAACUCUGGAGAGACCGGUACAACCCGGCGCCGAAGGGGCACCACGCGCACAUGCGCGUCCAAACUCUCAGGCAAAAGGACAGAGGGGCAACU